AACGAACGCUGGCGGCAUGCCUAACACAUGCAAGUCGAACGAGACCUUCGGGUCUAGUGGCGCACGGGUGCGUAACGCGUGGGAACCUGCCCUUAGGUUCGGAAUAACUCCCCGAAAGGGGUGCUAAUACCGGAUAAUGUCUUCGGACCAAAGAUUUAUCGCCUUUGGAUGGGCCCGCGUUGGAUUAGCUAGUUGGUAGGGUAAAAGCCUACCAAGGCGACGAUCCAUAGCUGGUCUGAGAGGAUGAUCAGCCACACUGGGACUGAGACACGGCCCAGACUCCUACGGGAGGCAGCAGUGGGGAAUAUUGGACAAUGGGCGAAAGCCUGAUCCAGCAAUGCCGCGUGAGUGAUGAAGGUCUUAGGGUUGUAAAGCUCUUUUACCCGGGAUGAUAAUGACAGUACCGGGAGAAUAGGCUCCGGCUAACUCCGUG
rnacentral:rRNA from 1 species